rnacentral:rRNA from 1 species
UACGGAAGGCAGCAGUGGGGAAUAUUGCACAAUGGGCGAAAGCCUGAUGCAGCUAUGCCGCGUGUAUGAAGAAGGCCUUAGGGUUGUAAAGUACUUUCAUCGGGGAGGAAAACAAAACUAAUAAUUUUAUUUCUUGACGUUACCCGAAAAAGAAGCACCGGCUAACUCCGUGCCAGCAGCCGCGGUAAUACGGAGGGUGCUAGCGUUAAUCAGAAUUACUGGGCGUAAAGAGCACGUAGGUGGUUUUUUUAAGUCAGAUGUGAAAUCCCUGGGCUUAACCUAGGAACUGCAUUUUGAAACUGAAAUACUAGAGUAUCGUAGAGGGAGGUAGAAUUCUAGGUGUAGCGGUGAAAUGCGUAGAUAUCUGGAGGAAUACCUGUGGCGAAAGCGGCCUCCUAAACGAAUACUGACACUGAGGUGCGAAAGCGUGGGGAGCAAACAGGGAUUAGAUACC